CGGUUAAGUUAGAAAGGGCGCACGGUGGAUGCCUUGGCACUAGGAGCCGAUGAAGGACGGGACGAACACCGAUAUGCUUCGGGGAGCUGUAAGCAAGCUUUGAUCCGGAGAUUUCCGAAUGGGGAAACCCACCACUCGUAAUGGAGUGGUAUCCAUAUCUGAAUACAUAGGAUAUGAGAAGGCAGACCCGGGGAACUGAAACAUCUAAGUACCCGGAGGAAGAGAAAGCAAAUGCGAUUCCCUGAGUAGCGGCGAGCGAAACGGGACCAGCCCAAACCAAGAGGCUUGCCUCUUGGGGUUGUAGGACACUCUGUACGGAGUUACAAAGGAACGAGGUAGAUGAAGAGGUCUGGAAAGGCCCGCCAUAGGAGGUAACAGCCCUGUAGUCAAAACUUCGUUCUCUCCUGAGUGGAUCCUGAGUACGGCGGAACACGUGAAAUUCCGUCGGAAUCCGGGAGGACCAUCUCCCAAGGCUAAAUACUCCCUAGUGACCGAUAGUGAACCAGUACCGUGAGGGAAAGGUGAAAAGCACCCCGGAAGGGGAGUGAAAGAGAUCCUGAAACCGUGUGCCUACAAGUAGUCAGAGCCCGUUAACGGGUGAUGGCGUGCCUUUUGUAGAAUGAACCGGCGAGUUACGAUCCCGUGCAAGGUUAAGCAGAAGAUGCGGAGCCGCAGCGAAAGCGAGUCUGAAUAGGGCGAAUUGAGUACGUGGUCGUAGACCCGAAACCAGGUGAUCUACCCAUGUCCAGGGUGAAGUUCAGGUAACACUGAAUGGAGGCCCGAACCCACGCACGUUGAAAAGUGCGGGGAUGAGGUGUGGGUAGGGGUGAAAUGCCAAUCGAACCUGGAGAUAGCUGGUUCUCUCCGAAAUAGCUUUAGGGCUAGCCUCAAGGUAAGAGUCUCGGAGGUAGAGCACUGAUUGGACUAGGGGCCCCUACCGGGUUACCGAAUUCAGUCAAACUCCGAAUGCCGAUGACUUAUCCUUGGGAGUCAGACUGCGAGUGAUAAGAUCCGUAGUCGAAAGGGAAACAGCCCAGACCGCCAGCUAAGGUCCCAAAGUAUACGUUAAGUGGAAAAGGAUGUGGAGUUGCUUAGACAACCAGGAUGUUGGCUUAGAAGCAGCCACCAUUUAAAGAGUGCGUAAUAGCUCACUGGUCGAGUGACUCUGCGCCGAAAAUGUACCGGGGCUAAACGUAUCACCGAAGCUGCGGACUGUUCUUCGAACAGUGGUAGGAGAGCGUUCUAAGGGCUGUGAAGCAAGACCGGAAGGACUUGUGGAGCGCUUAGAAGUGAGAAUGCCGGUAUGAGUAGCGAAAGAGGGGUGAGAAUCCCUCCACCGAAUGCCUAAGGUUUCCUGAGGAAGGCUCGUCCGCUCAGGGUUAGUCGGGACCUAAGCCGAGGCCGAAAGGCGUAGGCGAUGGAUAACAGGUUGAUAUUCCUGUACCACCUCCUCACCAUUUGAGCAAUGGGGGGACGCAGGAGGAUAGGGUAAGCGCGGUAUUGGAUAUCCGCGUCCAAGCAGUUAGGCUGGGAAAUAGGCAAAUCCGUUUCCCGUGAAGGCUGAGCUGUGAUGGCGAGCGAAUUAUAGUAGCGAAGUUCCUGAUUCCACACUGCCAAGAAAAGCCUCUAGCGAGGUGAGAGGUGCCCGUACCGCAAACCGACACAGGUAGGCGAGGAGAGAAUCCUAAGGUGAUCGAGAGAACUCUCGUUAAGGAACUCGGCAAAAUGACCCCGUAACUUCGGGAGAAGGGGUGCUCUGUUAGGGUGCAAGCCCGAGAGAGCCGCAGUGAAUAGGCCCAGGCGACUGUUUAGCAAAAACACAGGUCUCUGCGAAGCCGUAAGGCGAAGUAUAGGGGCUGACGCCUGCCCGGUGCUGGAAGGUUAAGAGGAGCGCUUAGCGUAAGCGAAGGUGCGAAUUGAAGCCCCAGUAAACGGCGGCCGUAACUAUAACGGUCCUAAGGUAGCGAAAUUCCUUGUCGGGUAAGUUCCGACCCGCACGAAAGGCGCAACGAUCUGGGCACUGUCUCAACGAGAGACUCGGUGAAAUUAUAGUACCUGUGAAGAUGCAGGUUACCCGCGACAGGACGGAAAGACCCCGUGGAGCUUUACUGCAGCCUGAUAUUGAAUGUUGGUACAGCUUGUACAGGAUAGGUAGGAGCCUUGGAAACCGGAGCGCCAGCUUCGGUGGAGGCAUCGGUGGGAUACUACCCUGGCUGUAUUGACCUUCUAACCCGCCGCCCUUAUCGGGCGGGGAGACAGUGUCAGGUGGGCAGUUUGACUGGGGCGGUCGCCUCCUAAAAGGUAACGGAGGCGCCCAAAGGUUCCCUCAGAAUGGUUGGAAAUCAUUCGCAGAGUGUAAAGGCACAAGGGAGCUUGACUGCGAGACCUACAAGUCGAGCAGGGACGAAAGUCGGGCUUAGUGAUCCGGUGGUUCCGCAUGGAAGGGCCAUCGCUCAACGGAUAAAAGCUACCCCGGGGAUAACAGGCUUAUCUCCCCCAAGAGUCCACAUCGACGGGGAGGUUUGGCACCUCGAUGUCGGCUCAUCGCAUCCUGGGGCUGUAGUCGGUCCCAAGGGUUGGGCUGUUCGCCCAUUAAAGCGGUACGCGAGCUGGGUUCAGAACGUCGUGAGACAGUUCGGUCCCUAUCCGUCGCGGGCGCAGGAAAUUUGAGAGGAGCUGUCCUUAGUACGAGAGGACCGGGAUGGACGCACCGCUGGUGUACCAGUUGUUCUGCCAAGGGCAUCGCUGGGUAGCUAUGUGCGGACGGGAUAAGUGCUGAAAGCAUCUAAGCAUGAAGCCCCCCUCAAGAUGAGAUUUCCCAUUCCGCAAGGAAGUAAGAUCCCUGAAAGAUGAUCAGGUUGAUAGGUCUGAGGUGGAAGUGUGGCGACACAUGGAGCUGACAGAUACUAAUCGAUCGAGGACUUAACCAAUUU
rnacentral:rRNA from 1 species